CCUACGGGAGGCAGCAGUGGGGAAUAUUGCGCAAUGGGCGAAAGCCUGACGCAGCGACGCCGCGUGAGGGAUGAAGGUCUUCGGAUCGUAAACCUCUGUCAGCAGGGAAGAACGGUCACUGUGCUAAUCAGCAGUGAAUUGACGGUACCUGCAAAGGAAGCACCGGCUAACUCCGUGCCAGCAGCCGCGGUAAUACGGAGGGUGCGAGCGUUAAUCGGAAUUACUGGGCGGAAAGCGCUCGUAGGCGGUAUGUCAAGUCAAGGGUGAAAGCCCCGCGCCCAACGUGGGAACUGCAUUUGAGACUGGCAAACUGGAGUGUGUGAGAGGAUAGUGGAAUUCCAGGUGUAGGAGUGAAAUCCGUAGAUAUCUGGAGGAACAUCAGUGGCGAAGGCGACUAUCUGGCACAUAACUGACGCUGAGGAGCGAAAGCGUGGGUAGCAAACAGGAUUAGAUACCCGAGUAGUC
rnacentral:rRNA from 1 species